CUUGUUGCCUCGGCGGAUCAGCCCGCUCCCGGUAAAACCGGACGGCCCGCCAGAGGACCCCUAAACUCUGUUUCUAUAUGUAACUUCUGAGUAAAACCAUAAAUAAAUCAAAACUUUCAACAACGGAUCUCUUGGUUCUGGCAUCGAUGAAGAACGCAGCAAAAUGCGAUAAGUAAUGUGAAUUGCAGAAUUCAGUGAAUCAUCGAAUCUUUGAACGCACAUUGCGCCCGCCAGUAUUCUGGCGGGCAUGCCUGUUCGAGCGUCAUUUCAACCCUCAAGCACAGCUUGGUGUUGGGACUCGCGUUAAUUCGCGUUCCCCAAAUUGAUUGGCGGUCACGUCGAGCUUCCAUAGCGUAGUAGUAAAACCCUCGUUACUGGUAAUCGUCGCGGCCACGCCGUUAAACCCCAACUUCUGAAUGUUGACCUCGGAUCAGGUAGGAAUACCCGCUGAACUUAAGCAUAUCA
rnacentral:rRNA from 1 species